AGUUAUCUCUUCAGUAAAUCUUUUGUAGGUCACAUUUAAAUGCACCACUGCCAUUGGGUAUAAACCUAUUUGCAGUUAAUAACAGGUAACCAUGGUGUGAAUGGCGUUUCGUACUACCACGCACAAAAUGGAAUUGGGAUAUCAGCUUCAGCAAUGUAUAAUUGCCAAACAAAUAUUUCUGAACUCUCCCCACUAAUAAAAGUGAUUAGUGGAUAAUGUUGAUGAAAAUGACAACAGUAAUAGCAAUAAAAUGACCCCUAUUCAGAAUGUC